rnacentral:rRNA from 1 species
CCUGGUUGAUCCUGCCAGUAGUCAUAUGCUUGUCUCAAAGACUAAGCCAUGCAUGUCUAAGUAUAAACACCUUUAUACUGCGAAACUGCGAACGGCUCAUUAUAUCAGUUAUAAUCUACUUGAUCGUAUACUCUUACUUGGAUAACCGUAGUAAUUCUAGAGCUAAUACAUGCAAAAGAACCCGACUGCUUGCGGAAGGGUUGUAUUUAUUAGGUACAAAAUCAAUGCCGGCCUUUGGUCGGAUUCUUUGAUGAUUCAUAAUAACUAAACGAAGCGCAGGGCUCGUCCCGGCGCUGAUACAAACGAGUUUCUGCCCUAUCAACUUUCGAUGGUAGUAUAGGGGACUACCAUGGUCGUAACGGGUAACGGGGAAUUAGGGUUCGAUUCCGGAGAGGGAGCCUGAGAAAUGGCAACCACUUCCAAGGAAGGCAGCAGGCGCGCAAAUUACCCAAUCCUGAUUCGGGGAGGUAGUGACAAGAAAUACCAUUGUAGGACACUACGUGUACUAUAUUUGGAAUGAGUACAAUUUAAACACCUUAACGAGGAACAAUUGGAGGGCAAGUCUGGUGCCAGCAGCCGCGGUAAUUCCAGCUCCAGUAGUGUAUAUUAAAGUUGCUGCGGUUAAAAAGCUCGUAGUUGGAUUUCGGAAUGCGUCGGGCAAAGCUCGCCUUCUGGGUGUGGCUCGUUUGGCGCUUCCUAUCUUUGGAUAAUGGCCCUCUUGCUUCACGGCUUGGGGAGCACCGUUUCCAAUCGUUUACUGUGAAAAAAUUAGAGUGUUCAAAGCAGGCGUAACCUUGCCAUUGAAUAUUACAGCAUGGGAUAAUAGAAUAUGACAUUGGUCUUAUUUUGUUGGUUUCUAGGGCUGAUGUAAUGAUUAAUAGGGAUAGUUGGGGUCGCUCGUAUUGAGUUGUCAGAGGUGAAAUUCUAGGAUUUACUCAAGACGAACUAGUGCGAAAGCAUUCGACAAGGAUGUUUUCAUUAAUCAAGAACGAAAGUUGGGGGAUCGAAGAUGAUCAGAUACCGUCGUAGUCUCAACCAUAAACUAUGUGGACCAAGGAUCCGAGGACGUUACAUGGAUGACUCUCCGGGCACUUUGUGAGAAAUCAUAAGUAUUUGCAUUCCGGGGGGAGUAUGGUCGCAAGGCUGAAACUUAAAGGAAUUGACGGAAGGGCACCACCAGGAGUGGAACCUGCGGCUUAAUUUGACCCAACACGGGGAAACUUACCAGGUCCGGACACUAUGAGGAUUGACAGAU